AUCUGAGUGGCGCAGUGGUAGCGUGAUGGGCUCAUAACCUACAGGUCCCCGGAUCGAAACCUGGCUUUGAUA
rnacentral:tRNA from 1 species